AUCAUACUCCCUCCGUCCGAAAAUACUUGUCAUCAAAAUUGAUAAAAAGGGAUGUAUCUAGAACUAAUAUACAUCUAGAUACAUCCCCUUUUAUUCAUUUUGAUGACAAGUAUUUCCGGACGGAGGGAGUACAAG
rnacentral:pre_miRNA from 1 species